rnacentral:rRNA from 1 species
UAAGUGACGAUAGCCUAGGAGAUACACCUGUACCCAUGCCGAACACAGCAGUUAAGCCCUAGAACGCCGGAAGUAGUUGGGGGUUGCCCCCUGUGAGAUAUGGAAGUCGCUUAGC